rnacentral:rRNA from 1 species
CCUACGGGUGGCAGCAGUGAGGAAUAUUGGUCAAUGGGCGCAAGCCUGAACCAGCCAAGUAGCGUGAAGGAUGACUGCCCUACGGGUUGUAAACUUCUUUUAUGAAGGAAUAAAGUUAGGCACGUUUGCCUUUUUGUAUGUACUUUAUGAAUAAGGAUCGGCUAACUACGUGCCAGCAGCCGCGGUAAUCCGGAGGAUCCGAGCGUUAUCCGGAUUUAUUGGGUUUAAAGGGAGCGUAGAUGGGUUUUUAAGUCAGUUGUGAAAGUGUGCGGCUCAACCGUAAAAUUGCAAUUGAUACUGGCAGACUUGAGUACAGUUGAGGUAGGCGGAAUUCGUGGUGUAGCGGUGAAAUGCUUAGAUAUCACGAAGAACCCCGAUUGCGAAGGCAGCCUACUAAACUGCCACUGACAUUGAUGCUCGAAAGUGUGGGUAUCAAACAGGAUUAGAUACCCCAGUAGUC